rnacentral:lncRNA from 1 species
CACUAGACUAAAUCCUGGACCUUCAAGACCCAUGCCCCUAGAACCUUGGAGGGGUAAAUCGCAGGUUAUGCCUCAACUGGAUCACAAGUUUCCCCCAUUGACUGUACACUUCUGCGCAUAAGAGACCCUCCUCCACAGUGAUUGCUCCAUACCAAUUUUUUGGCCGCAGGUUCUCACCAGGAAUCGAACUCUCCACCCUGCCGCGGGAAGCAAGCCAAAAUUGAUUGAUCCACCAAUUGAGACGUGCCCCGGGGGGCUGUAAUCGCAUAUUUUUAACCAUAGAUUAGGUGUUCCAAAAGGGUUAGGAAUGAUUGGACAAAAAAUGGGAGCAAACAGUUUCUAUAAUGGCUUCGCUGAACAAAAGUAGAAUAACUUGAAGAAAAAAGAAAAG